rnacentral:miRNA from 1 species
GGGAGUUUCGUGUGUGUGUGUGUGUGUGUGUGUGUGUGUGUGUGUGUGGUUGCGUGCGUGUGCGUGUGCGUGCAUGCAUGCACACACACACACACA